rnacentral:other from 1 species
GAUUACCUGAGAUGUUCGCCAGCGGGUUACGUCCCUGAGCCGAUACUUACAUACUUCGAGUUGGUUCUCUAUAUUGUUGGUGCGCAGGCUUAGUUUUACUAAGAAGCCUAAAAACGAUUACAACCGACUCCCUUGAACCGUCGGGUUCAAGGACCGACCACCCACAACGGCAUCUCGGGACCUAA